AGCAGGGACUGGGGGGAGCUCAAUGACAACUAUUCCUCCCAUGAUUUCAUUGUAGGAACACUUUCCAUUCUUGUAUAAUAUUCAGAAACUAAGUCGGGAAACUCUAUUACAAAGCACAUAUUAAUUAAUAUUUCUAGCUUAUUAACUUAUUCAUGCAUCCAGUAAACAUCAUUGUAGUCUACCGAGGUACUGUGCCUUGUGUUACCUGCUGGGGAGAUAAAGAUAAUAUAUUCCUUCUAUGACCUCAAACAAGAAGGAGAGACAGAAAUCUAGACCAAUAAUUACAGCCAUUACAGUAGUUUUAUGAGACAACAGAACAGGAAAAAUGUACCUUUGCCUAUAGGAGGGCAAGGAGGGCACCCAGAAAGUGGUGAUACUGGAAAUGAGCUGUUUGCUUUUUAUUUGGGGUUUUGUUUUUUUGUUUUUUGUUUUUGUUUUUUGUUUUUUGUUUUUUUUUUGGCCAUGCCCACGGCAUGCAGAAGUUCCCAGGCCAGGGACCAAAUCUGAUCCACAGCAGUAACCAGAGUCAAGCAGUAACGACAUCAGAUUCUUAACCCGCUGAGCCACCAGGGAAGUCCUGGAACCGAGUCUUUUGAGCUAACUAGGAACAUACCAGAAGAUGAAGGAGAGGAAGAGCAUUCCAGACAGAUGGAACAGCCAUGGAAAAGCUUUUUUUUCCCCUUGGGUAAGGGGGGACAUUUGCAAUGGUGUACUCCAAUUUGGGUUCUAGGAACUUAGGAUGAAAAGUAGAGUGAAAUGGGAUAGUACUGGCCCACAGUGUUCAGAGUUUGCAAUCAAGGAGCCCCCACAGGCAGCAUUCAAGUGUAAAGACAGAAUUAAAACCAGUGGAAAAUAACACCCACACACCAUCCUAAUGGGGACCAAGCUGGAAGGCAAAACCCGGCAGAAGUAAAAUGGGAACUGGCAGCAGCACAGGUUAGGAGUUGGGGGAGGAGGGAGAGCCUGGAGAGGAGCCUUUGAACAGAGCUACAGGGGAUUUUCAGAGGCAGCUGAAGGGCCGAUCUGGGUGGGGGAGGACAGUGUGGCAGGCACAGAACCUGUUCAGGCAGGCGUGGAAGCAAGACAAAGCCGAGCCCAGUCAGGGAGUUAAGAUCAGUCAUCAUGACUAAUGCCCAGACGAAAAACGAGGAGGGUAGACAAGAGGGAGUCAGGACCUCCAGGACGAGGAACCUUGAAAAGUACCCUCGGGGAACUUGCCAGCUGGGACUUCCCCCGGGGGGCCUGGGCAUCACUGGCAGUUAUCAAUGUGUUGUUCUGUGUGGGAUACAAACACUAUUGUAAUGAUUUUUAAAGCAAUCAGAAAAAUACAUUGGGAGUUUGGGGUUAGUAGAUGCAGGCUAUUACAUUUAAAAUGAAUAAGCAAGGAGGUCCUACUGUACAGGCCAGGGAAUUAUAUCCAGCCUCUUGGGACAGGCCACGACGGAAGAUAGUACAAGGAAGGGAAUGUGUCUGUAUCUAUGACUGGGUCACUUUGCUAUACAGCAGAAAUUGGCACAACACUGUAAAUCAACUAUACGUUAAUAAAAAAAAAUUAAAAAGAGAAAAAUAUGUAAUUAGCACAUUAAAUUCAAAAUUAUAUAGAUACAAAACCUGCUUAAGAUGAAGUGUGCAGAGGAGUUCCCAUCGUGGCUCAGUGGUUAACGAAUCCGACUAGGAACCAUGAGGUUGCGGGUUCAAUCUCUGGCCUUGCUCAGUGGGUUAAGGAUCCAGCGUUGCCAUGAGCUAUGGUGUAGGUCGCAGACGCGGCUUGGAUCCCGUGUUGCUGUGGCUCUGGCAUAGGCUGGAGGCUAUAGCUCCAAUUAGGCCCCUAGCCUGGGAACCUCCAUAUGCUGCGGGAGCGGCCCUAGAAAAGGCAAAAAGACAAAAAAAAAAAAAAGAUGAAGUGUGCAGAGAUACUACCAUGGUGAGGUGACCUAUAGUAAAAAUUAAGAAAAUACAAAAGAAGGUUUUAUACCGAUAAGGCCAAAAUUGGGAGGGCAGUCUAUAAAUGACUCAAGUUUGAAAAUGUUGGUCAUUAGCAAUGGGGAGUCCCUGAGAAGUUUUAGGCACUGGACUAUAUUCUAGAACAUUGCCUUUGCAGGGGUAGGGAAGAGAGGAGCUGGAGGCGUUUGCUAAGAGGGAUUGCAUUUCUCUUUCAGAACCGAUGCAGACUCUGCAUGUUUUUUGAGUUCAUGUUUCAAUAACGAAACUAAUUUGAACCCUGAAAUACUCAGGCAAUUCUGUGAGAACCCUUCUUUUAGUAAUGUGAAAUACCUGUGACUCUAUUUUAAUCUUGAACAACUGGACAUAUAUACUCAGGUGAAUAACUGGGGCAGUAAUGUGCAUUGGGCAAAAUGACCUCCAUGGUGUGGAGUAAUAAGACACUCACCAUGUCUACUGAAUGCUGGUCCCUACCAUCAUUUGGUUAAUUGGACUAACAUAGACUUAUUGUUAAAAAUAUGUCUGGUACAUUAUGUAUUGUCAUGUCUUAAAUUUUCUCUGUUUCAUGAUAAUUUGACAUUCGGGGGCCUUGUGAACAGAGGAGGAACUGCCUGUCCCAGGACGAGCUAAUUCCUAGAGAUGAUAAACAAUCCGCGUGUAAGCAUACCUUACACACGCAAACCAACCCUCCUGAACCCAUCCUCCAUCCGCCUCCUUUUAUCAGACACCUGCAGUCUGGGACACCAUCCUCCUCACUCACCUCAGUCACCACGGAAACAGUUACUGGACCACUAGAGACCACCGCCCGAGUCCAGAACCUGCCAAAAUUAUUCAAACCAUCCACCCUAAGUCUGCUCUGCUGCUUACCCUGCUUGCCCAUUCUUUCUCAUGAAAACAAGAUACAAAUUGUUACUAUGCUUUCCCCUCGCUCCUUCUGCCUCCUGACCAACUCUGGUGCUUCUCUAUAUGGUCCUGCAUGGCUUGGUGUGCCCCUUCUUCUUGGGAACUGUAGGCAAAAACCACUUUUCCCCCCCCAAAAACAGUUGUCUCUGUGUCUUUUAUCUUACCAUAUCUGACUCAAAUAAAAUCCUGGGUACAUUUUAAAACACAUUAAAGAAACUCAAUAAAUUAAAAAAAUCUGUUAAAU
rnacentral:lncRNA from 1 species